rnacentral:lncRNA from 1 species
AAUUCGUGGCAGUCCUGUUCGAAGACGUUCUCCCCUUCCGCCAAGGCGACGGUUAGUGUUUUAAUUGCAUAAACUUGAAUAGUUGAAAUAAGUGAUGAAAAAAUAUCUUCUCCCUCACUCCAUAUCUAGAAAGUCCCUUUAAAGAUUUGCAUAAAUGAUGAUAAACAUGAUGCUACAUGCUUCAAUGCAGUUCUUUAAAUUGUUAAACCUUAGUUACUUGUAAAAAAAUUCGUAAACCUGUGUGGCAUCGUAGAUAUGCGUGACGUAUUUAAAAUGAUGUCGAAUAGUUGAUUCUGCCAUCAGUAGCUGUCAAACUAGUGUUUUCCCAUUAUGAUUGGCAGUUGCCUUUCUUGUUUGUAGUAGUAGUAGUACUUGUUAUAUUAAAAAUAUAGUGAAUUGUAGCAUGAACUAUGUAAUGCAGAUUUGUGCUGUGUUAACUAAUGUUGAUAACUGAAAGUGUGGUAGCUCAUGGUACCUUUGUGUUUGUUUGUAGUUCUCCACCGCGACGUGCUAGAAGUCCACCCAGAAGAUCUCCGGUUGGUCGCCGGUCUAGCCGCUCACCUAUUAGGAGACCUAUCCGUUCACGAUCAAGAUCCAUCUCUCCUAGGCGGUAAUGCAUAAAUUUUUAUCAUCUUUAUCACUAAAAUUUCUAGUAUCGACUAUCGAGUUAUAGCAAUUCUUUUCUAGUGUCUUUGGAUAGGUGGCCUGCUGCUAUACUUGCGGUCUGUAGUUUCUCUCUUUAUGUCCACCUUCCUCAUGUUAAAAUUAAUAUCCUUUGGCACUUUCUAUGUGGCAUGUUCUGACGCCUUUUUUUUUUUUUUUUGCUCUUGGAUGUAUCUAAACUCCAUCACAAUAUUGUC